rnacentral:rRNA from 1 species
GAUGAACGCUGGCGGCGUGCCUAAUACAUGCAAGUCGAGCGAACAGACGAUGAGCUUGCUCCUCUGACGUUAGCGGCGGACGGGUGAGUAACACGUGUAUAACCUACCUAUAAUACUGGGAUAACUUCGGGAAACCGGAGCUAAUACCGUAUAAUAUAUUGAACCGCACGGUUCAAUAGUGAAAGACGGUUUUGCUGUCACUUAUAGAUGGAUCCGCGCCGCAUUAGCUAGUUGGUAAGGUAACGGCUUACCAAGGCAACGAUGCGUAGCCGACCUGAGAGGGUGAUCGGCCACACUGGAACUGAGACACGGUCCAGACUCCUACGGGAGGCAGCAGUAGGGAAUGUGCCGCAAUGGGCGAAAGCAUGACGGAGCAGCGCGGAGUGAGUGAUGAAGGUCUUCGGAUCGUAAUACUCUGUUAUUAGGGAAGAACAAAUGUGUAAGUAACUAUGCACGUAUUGACGGUACCUGAUAAGAAAGCCACGGCUAACUACGUG